AGCACAAAUACUGGGGCUUCCCAGUGUAUUUGGAAACAGUCUCAAUAAGAAGGGGUCUCAGGGAUGGAUUUGGCUAUCUACCCUUCCUUCCAUCCCUUCAAUUUAUUUCUCUUCCUAAAACGCCUCUGUUCUUACUUGUCUGAGAUAAUACCUCUAUCCAUGCUCAUACAAUUAGAUGUUGAUGCAUAUGGGAGAAAUUCGGGUGUUUGUCCUGUUGUUUCUUUAUGCAAAUAUGGAAAUAGCACACACUUCAUUCCACAGCUUACUUUGCUCCUUUAAUAACACAUCACGGGCAAUCCUCCAGCGCCUUCCUUUAAGAAUCACACACAUUCCACACUGUCACGGUUCCACCAUUUCUCUGUAGGUGUGUGGUUUCCAGUUCUCAAGCAAGUCUCUGUCUGGCCAUUCCUCCUUCCUCUGCCUUUGGGAAGUGGAAGUAGUGACUAAGCUUUAUCAAACAGCCACUCCUACCUUUUAGGGAAAUGACUCCCUAGAAUUUGCUCCUAAAAGUAAAGGGUCUGUCCAGGCCUGAAAUGUCAACUGUGUCCAGUGGCCUCCUUCUUCCAGGACGCCGUGGCCCUCGCAGAUUGCAUAAAACAAUUUCCGGCAAGUGUAAACCUCCAUCUUCAUGGAUGAUUUCCUCAACCUACCUACUUUAUACCAUUGAAACAAAGCUUUUUCUAAAACCACUGAGAGUUCUUAUGCUGUUUCUGCUUGACCAUGACUUUUUAAAAUAGAAGUUGAAAUGUCAAAGGAACCCCAAGUCCACGGCAGGUGCUCCCAGACUGGAUCAUGAAGCGCUAACCGUCAACAUGGGAUGAUGGUCAGAUCUCAAACUGAUGCUUGUGGGCAAGGAAGACUGAAACAAAUGGAAAGUGCCAGACUUCUGCUUCCUCCGAGCCACUUGCCAAGGUUCUCCCUGCCCAGUGGUCGGGGCCGACUCUCGGUUCCUUCACCUCGGCUCCUGCUGCUCCUCCGCUCUCGCCACCCGCCUGCCAGCCCGUCCAUCCUGGUUUAAACACCUGCCGCUCAGGUCGGCCUGCCCUCCCCCCACCCUCCCACAGGUCACCCGCUGUCAGGGUGCCCGUACUGUGCCCCUGUAAGCGUGAGGUCCUGCGGGCGGGACGUCAUCUGUGUGACUCACACCACGUCCCCGGUGCCCAGCACAGAGCCUGCUCCACACGUAAGGACACACGUGAAGACACAGAUGGCCUGCCAAGGCUCGACACUGUUCUAAGUGUUUCCCGCACGUUAUUCUGUUUAAUUUUCAAAACAACCCUACGGGGUAGGUGCCACGAGUGUCUCUCUCACAGGUGGUACUUCCUGUCCCCCAACUAUCCAGCUUGCACCAGCUCUUCAAGAAUUCAUACUCCCUCUUUCUCCGUUUCCAUUUUAAAUCCCACUGGAUGUGCAGCUCUGUCACCGUGAGCCAGUCGCUUGCUCAGCAGCGCACGGUCCCAUGGCAGCUCCACACACACCGGUCCCAUGAGCCUCAGGAGUCUGUCCUCUCCGCCAACAUCUUCAGCGCUGGGAUUAGCACCUCACUCACCGAAUGAGACGGGAGAAAGGCCUCCCCACACAAACGGACGCUCUCGGAUUCCUAGGCCUAUCUCAUUUAUAAAAAGUUAAGCACCCAUAGCAUAACUUGUGAUCGGAUCCAAAAAGACUUCAGCUGCACUUUGUCAAAACAUGCACUGCAUUUAAAAUCUAAAAGUAUUCUGAAUCUCAGUCUCUAGACCUACCUUACUAAUUCUAAUUCU